rnacentral:misc_RNA from 1 species
UGUGGGAGCGAGCCUGCUCGCGAUGACGGUGUGUCAGUUGACUCAUGUGCAGCGGACAAAUCGCCAUCGCGAGCAGGCUCGCUCCCACA